AAAUUUGAAUAUCUCCGAGUGUAUAAGCCUAAGGCUUAGCUAAGGUUUAUACACCGGUUGGGCGUUAAAGCCCCCAGGGUAUAAGUGGAAACGCUUAUGCCUCCCGACUUGGAAAGGAGAUGCUGGUUAUAACGC
rnacentral:ncRNA from 2 species